GAGGCGGGGCGCCGGGGAAACGCAGUAGGAGGAGUGACGGGAACCGGGAGCCGGCUCCAUGCGCCUGGAGCGCGCGGGUCCCAGCGCCCAUCGGCCCGGGGUCCGAGGGGCCCGCUGCCCGGGCUCGCUGCGUGGUGCUACCGCCCCCGGGCCCGCUGCGCCGCGUCGGAGCCCCAGCAGACUUUGAGAGGCGUGUGCGACAGUGCGCGUCCUCUCCUGCCUCUGGAUGUUUCCUUGGAGCCUCUGGCCUUCGGGAAGACCGCACAUGGAACAUUCUCCAAGAUAGACCAUUUGAUCGGCCACAAAACAAAUCUCAAUAAAUUUAAGAAAAUCAAAAUUAUAUCAAGUACUCUCUCAGACUACAGUGGAAUAAAAUUGGAAAUUAACUCUAAAAGGAACCCUCAAGACUAUACAAAUAUGUGGAAAUUAAAUAAUCUGCUCCUGAAUGAUCUUUGGAUCAACAAUGAAAUAAAAAUGGAAAUUAAAAAAUUCUUUGAACUGAAUGAUAAUAGUGACAGAACAUGUUAAAACCUCUGGGAUACAGCAAAAGUGGUGCUAAGACGACAUUUCAUAGCAUUAAAUGCCUACAUCAAAAAGUCUGAAAGAACACAAAUAGAGAACCUAAGAUCACACCUCAAGGAACUAGAGAAACAAGAACAAACCAAACCCAAAACCAGCAGAAGAAAAUAAAUAACAAAAGUCAGAGCAGAACUAAAUGAAAUUGAAACAAACAAACAAAAAACAAUACAAAAGAUAAAUGAAGCAAAAAGAUGGUUCUUUGAAAAGAUAAAAAAAAUUGAUAGACCAUUAGUGAGAUUAACCAAGAACAGAGAGAAGAUCCAAAUAAGCUCAAUUAGAAAUGAAACAGAAGAUAUUACAACUGAUACCAUAGAAAUACAAAAGAUCAUUUAAGGCUACUAUGAACACCUUUAUGCACACAAACUAGAAAAUCUAGAGGAGAUGGAUAAAUUCCUGGGAAUAUGCAACCCUACUAGAUUAAAUCAGGAAGAAAUAGAAACUCUGAACAAACCAAUAACAAGUAGUGAGAUUGAAAUGGUAAUUAAAAAAUUGCCAACAAAAUAAAGCCCAGGAUCAGAUGGUUACACAGCUGAAUUCUAUCAGGCAUUCAAAGAAGAAUUGGUACCAAUCUUACUGAAAUUAUUCCAUAAGAUAGAGAAAGAGGGAAUCCUCCCUAAGUCAUUCUAUGAAGCCAGUAUCACCCUAAUAGCAAAACAAGAAAAGGACAUAAUAAAACAAGAAAACUACAGACCAAUAUCCCUGGUGAACAUAGAUGUGAAAAUCCUCAACAAAAUACUAGCUAACUGAACCCAACAGCAUAUCAAAAAGAUAAUACACCAUGAUCAAGUGGAUUUCAUGCCAGGAAUGCAUGGAUGGUUUAACAUACACAAGUCAAUAAAUGUAAUACAUCACAUAAGCAGAAUUAAGAACAGAAAUUAUAUGAUCAUCUCAAUGGAUGCAGAAAAAGCAUUUGCCAAAAUCCAGCAUCACUUUAUGAUGAAAGCCACCAGCAAAGUCAGCAUAGAAGGGACAUAACUCAAAGUAAUAAAAGCCAUCUAUGACAAACACACAGCUGACAUUAUAGUGAAUGGAGAAAAGUUGAAAGCAUUCCCUCUGAGAACUGGAACAAGAAAAGGAUUCUUACUUUCACCACUGCUACUCAAUAUUGUACUGGAAGUCCUAGCCAGAGAAAUCGGACAAGAGAAAGAAAUAAAGGACAUCCAAAUUGCAAAAGAGAAAGUCAAACUGUCACUAUUCACUGAUAUAAUGACAUGAUAUGAUGACAUAAUUGUAUACCUAGAAGACCCUAAAGACCCAUCCAGAAAGCUCCUAGAUGUGGUAAAUGAAUUCAGUAAAGUUUCAGGAUACAAAAACAAUGUACACAAAUCAGGAGUACGGCUAUACAACACCAACAACCAAACUAAUAAUCAAAUCAAGAACUCAACCCCUUUUACAACAGCUGCAACAAAAUUAAAUACUUAGGAAUAUACCUAACCAAGGAGGUGGAAGAUCUCUACAAGGAAAACUACAAAAAACUGCUGAAAGAAAUCAUAGAUGAUACAAACAAAUGGAAACAUAUCCUAUGCUCACAAAUGGGUAGAAACAAUAUUGUGAAAAUGAGCAUACUACCAAAAGCAAUCUACAAAUUCAAUGCAAUUCCCAUCAAAAUACCAUCAUCAUUCUUCACAGAACUAAAACAAAUAUUAAAAUUCAUAUGGAACCAAAAAUGAGCCUGCAUAGCCAAAGCAAGACUAAACAAAAAGAAGAAAUCUGGAGGCAUCACAUUACCAGACUUCAAACUAUACAACAAUGCUGGUAGAAGAGCCUGAUGGCCUGGUGUUGGGCCUGAUCACCCCAAAAUUUCAGGCACCCAACGUGGGGCUAUGAAGACCAUGGUAAAGAAAUGCUAGAGUAUAUGGAAAUGAAGGACAUAUCAUCAAAGGACACCCGAGGAUGGCUGAAAGAAGCUUGGUGGGUAAGCUGGGCACUCUGAAGAACCAAGUGCCACUGGGUUAGAGUCUCCCCGACCAAGCUGGUCUCAGCAAGUGGUCUCCAUCAUGGGGGCUCGAAUCCAGGUUGAAGGGUCACCAGAGUGAUGGUUGGAGAACAUGGAACUAGCUGGAGGACACCUGAGUACUCUUAAAGCAAACCCCGUGGCCAAAAUCAAUAACCAAUUUGGAUACCAUCAAGACACCUGAAACCUUAUCAUGAGCCAGAUGCUGAGGAAGAGAUUCCAGGAGGAUCCUGAGGACCCCCUGGUUGCAGCCACGUCGAGGCUGACACUGAGGAGGACCCCAACUGUCAUGAGCAACACCCGUCGAACACAGCCAUCCACCUGGGGACAAAUCAAGAAGCUGUCACAGAUGAUGGAAGAAAACCUGAGGAAAGCGGGACAACCAAUCACAAUGAGUAAUUUGGUGAUCUAUCACAGUGAUGAUCACCAUUGCCAUGAGUAUUCCUUCAACAAGGGCUGACACAGAGAACAAUUAUACUUAUUGGGCAUAUUUAUCAAUCUUGUCUGGCAAUAAUGCCUAGAUGAUUUCACUCUAUGGCACAGUUACACAUGCUUUCUGAUCUCAGUAUUUACCAUAAUAAAUCUGCUCCUAUAAUUGAGGCAUACCACCCUCAAAAACCUAUUUGUAAACAAAAUAGAACCUGGCCAGAAAUAAUGAACAACUUGUUUAGUAAGAUUGCAUUGCAGAACAGGCAGAGAUGCUACGCAAUGAUUCCUAUGGGAUCAUUGAUUGGUCCCCUAAGGGGAUGUUUAGCUUAAAUUGCACCUCUCAGUCUGCAUGCCAUGGCCACACUAGUUCAGAUGGUCUGAACAAAGUGGUCAGAUGGCAGAAAUGAUAAGAAGUAUGGCAAAAGUUCCUAUUGUCUGGAACCAUGGCAGUAUAGUGUCACCUCAACCUCAAAUGAUAUGGCUCAUUGUAGGAGCUAAACAUAAGGAUUUGUGGAAACUAUUAAUAGCUCUUAAUAAGAUCAAAAUUUGGGAAAGAAUAAAAAAAGCAUCUAGAAAGACACUCUACAAACUUGUCUUUGGAUAUUACAAAAUUAAAAGAACAAAUAUUUAAAGCAUCCCAGGUACACCUGACCUUAAUGACAGAAACUGGAGUGCUUGAAGGAGCUGCAGACAGAUUAGCAGCUAGUAACCCAUUAAAAUGGAUAAAAACACUUGGAAGCUCUGUGAUUUCAAUGAUGAUUGUGCUUUUAAUCGGUAUUGUUUGUCUUUGUAUAGUGUGCAGAUGUGGAUCCUGACUCCUGUGAGAAGUAGCUCACAGUGUCAAAGCUGCCUUUGCUUUUAUCGAUUUGCAAAUCAAAUAAGGGGGACAUAUUGGGAACAGCACCCCCCCCCCCAAAAUCUGGCCAUAAACUGGUCCCAAAACUGGCCAUAAACAAAAUCUCUGCAGCACUGACAUGUUCAUGAUGGUCUUAAUGCCCACGCUGGAAGGUUGUGGGUUUACCAGAAUGAGAGCAAGGAACACCUGGCCCACCCAGGGUGGAAAACCACUUAAAGGCAUUCUUAAACCACAAACAAUAGCAUGAGUGAUCUGUGCCUUAAGGCUGUGCUACUGCUGCAGAUAACUAGCCCAACCCAUCCCUUUAUUUCAGCCCAUCCCUUCGUUUCCCAUAAGGGAUACUUUUAAUUAAUCUAAUAUGUAUAGAAAGAAUGCUAAUGACUGGCUUGCUGUUAAUAAAUAACGUGGGUAAAUCUCUGUUGGAGGCUCUCAGCUCUGAAGGCUGUGAGACCCCGGAUUUCCCACUUCACACCUCUGUAUUUCUGUGUGUCUGUCUUUAAUUCCUUUAGCACCACUGGGUUAGGGUCUCCCCGACCGAGCUGGUCUUUGCACUUCUCACUUCUGGAUAUAGGCCUCCCUAGAGGGUUUUUUUUUUCUUUUUUGAUAGGAUCUUGCUCUUUCAUCCAGGCUGGUGUGCUGUAGUGUAUUCAUGGCUUGCUGCAGUCUUGAUCUCCCAGACUCAAGUAAUCCUCCCAUCUCAGCCUCCUGAAUAGCUAGGACCACAGGCCUGUGCCACCAUGUCUGGCUACUUUAAUUUUUUUUCCCUUAGAGACAGAGUCUCACUAUGUUGCCCAGGCUGGUCUCACAUUCCUGCACUCGUCAUCUUCCUGCCUUGGCCUUCCAAAGUGCUGAGAUUACAGGCAUGAAACACUACACCUGGCCAUCCCUGGAGUAUUUCUUCCUUCCUUCCUUCCUUGCUUCCUUCCUUCCUUUUUUCUUUUCCUCCCUCCCUCUCUCUUUCUUUCUUUGUUUCUUUUUCUCCCUUUCUUCCUUUCUUUCUUUCUUUUCUUUCUUUCUUCCUUCCUUUCUUUUUCUUUCUCUCUUUCUUUCUUCUUUCCUUCCUCCUUCCCUCCUUCCCUCCCCUCCCUCCCCCUCCCCUCCCUUCCUUCCUUCCUUCUUUCCUUCCUUCCUUCCUUUCUUCCUUCCUUCUUUCCUGUCUUAUUUCAAAACACAUGUCUUC
rnacentral:lncRNA from 1 species